rnacentral:rRNA from 1 species
GGCUACUACCCUCAACUAAGUUUCCUAUCAUUGAUAGGGGAUGCCAGUUGGAUCUGGCCGUCCGGUUUGCCUUUCAGGUUGCCGGUCAGCUGAAAUACAUUCACGCUCUGGGGGCUGCUUUCCUCGAAAGGCUACUUUCGAGGGGAGGUGAGUUCCGAUUUGGUAGGUGACCUUUGCCGGUUGCAUGCCUUCGUUGCCCGCUAAGCUUCCCAGUAGUCGUUGUGCAGGACGCCUUUUGGCUU